CGAAAUGACUCUCGGCAACGGAUAUCUCGGCUCUUGCAUCGAUGAAGAACGUAGCGAAAUGCGAUACGUGGUGUGAAUUGCAGAAUCCCGUGAACCAUCGAGUUUUUGAACGCAAGUUGCGCCCAAAGCCUUUUGGUUGAGGGCACGUCUGCCUGGG
rnacentral:rRNA from 1 species